CCAUCUCUUACUUGAUAUGGUAGAGUACUCGGCUACGAACCGAGCGGUCGGAGGUUCGAAUCCUCCCGGAUGCACCA
rnacentral:tRNA from 1 species